ensembl:lincRNA
UUCUAAUAGGCCUUAAAAUAUAGGUGUACAUUAAGGGAUAAUUAUAGUACUUUCGUUACUACUACACUGUAUAUUUAAUAAUUAAAAAUUAUUUAAUCUCAGGAAUAACUCUGUGAGGGUUAUUAUUCCAUUUUCUAAAUAAAUGAACUGUUUUAGAGAUGUUUAGUAACUUGCCAAGCUCACACACAUACUUAGUGGGUGAACAAGUAACUGCUUCAAGAAUUUCAUCAAUGCAUUAAAGUUAUAUUUUUGACCAUUUGGUAUGUGCUAGUCAUGCUAAGCACUAGACAUAGUAUAGUGACCAAAACUGACCAGGCCCUGUCCUUACAAAUCUUGCAGAUUUUAAGUUACUUGAUGGAGUCUCUUUGAAAUCUACAAGAUUAGAAGUAGAUCAUAAAGAUGCAGAGAUAUAUUUCAGAGUCACUGUGGUUAUUGGAUAGACCAGGAAGCCUUUUUAAUCAAAGAGAAAGAUAGAAUCAUACCUAGCUUGAAUGUACUGCUAUAUUAAAAUAUUUAUUUAGGUAAACUCAUAGAAGCCAAGGAUGAAGCAUGACUUCCUUCUCUAACUCUUAACAGUUAAAUCAUAAAAUCAACACUAAAAAAGCAACACGAGCUGAACUGUUUUCCAGAUAAGAAUCAGAAAGAGUAAGGAAAACAUGAAUAUAUGAAUGUCAAAAUUUUCCGCUGAUUAAAUGAUAUUAAAAUAUCUAAGCAAGAAAGUGCCAAUCAGUAAUGACAGAAGAAAAUUCCAUUAAAGUCUCUCUCAGAAAUGUGAAGAAUUUUGUUGUCAGCUAAUUCAUGCUGAUGCACAUAUCUUGGAUCCAGAAAUAUAAAUGAUGAUGGUACUGUUACUGUGUAUGGCUGGAUCACCAAAAAGUAAUAUACACUUAGGACUUGAAGAUUGGCCAAAUCUUCUGAUAACUAUUCGUCCAGUAAAUACAGAGAGGUGGAAUUAACAAUGCCUAGUCAGUCUGGGCAGCAGAAUAUCUCAUACAGCUAUAUGAGGUUUCAUGCCACCACAAAGAGGUACCCUCUUGUAAAAAGAUGAAAAAUACAAAGAAGCCACCCACGUUGGUUUUCAUGAAGGAAAAAUUUGGUGUCUAGUUUUACCACCAAGUGCUUGUCAAAUAAACUUCAUAUGAAAUCAAGACUGAAUACAGUAAACAGGAAAUUUGGAUAAAAGCUAUAGUGAACAAAUAUUCCUUUUUAUUUUUAUCCCUAUUCUUAUUUGGGACAGACCUCUGGAAUAGGGUUGGGGGACUGAAUGCAAAUUUGAUGACACAGAGCUGGAGCAAAGUGAAUAAGGUCUCAAUACUUUUUGAAGAUGCUCCAGCUCUUAUUUGAGUAAAAGCAAAUUUUAUUAAUAGAUCCUCCUUCAAAGAGUCCGUCUAUUUUAACUUGCAUCAGUAAAUUAUAAAACUGGGCACCCAAAGUCAUUACAUGGACACAACUAUUAAGUUUAGUUUUCUUUGUUAGAAUAUUCCAGACAUUAAAAAGAAACUUCCUAGACUGAUAAAAUAGCUUUUUAAUAUUUCUUUGAAAAUCAUUCCUUUCCCCCCUUACCUUGACUUUUCUGCCCUUUCUCUAGAAUUAUCCUGACUUUCUCUGUUAUAUUUCAAGGAAGCUUCAGAGGUUACCUGCCACAUCUUUUGCUUUAGUCACUUUUUCAAAUAACUUUUAUUAUAUUAAACUAU